UCUGGCGGCUUUAGCGCGGUGGUCCCACCUGACCCCAUGCCGAACUCAGAAGUGAAACGCCUUAGCGCCGAUGGUAGUGUGGGGUCUCCCCAUGUGAGAGUAGGGAACUGCCAGAC
rnacentral:rRNA from 1 species